UAACAUGCGUCCCAAUUUUUUUAAUCCGUGUUGCGUCAUCCAACGUCGCCCUUUCAUUUUUAGACAGGGCUACCAUCUCGUGGCAAUAGCGGUUGCAUGGCCUAUACGACACGUCAUCACACGUUGGCUGUUUACCUUUCGUCUGUUCGUCCGCCUUGUUGGAUGUCUCGCCGCUCGCUGUCCGUUUCCAUUCGCCAAACUGGUCUAGCAUUGCCUUGUCCGGAAGAAACCCUCUUUCAGCAACUGAUAGGCUAGUUGGAAUUUUGUUCCUUCUUGUUCUACACGCUGCCUCACCUCCAAAAUGCGUUCACCGUGCAACGUGAAUUCUCGUCGACGCGCCACGUUAAAAUGAGCAUCCACCAGAUAAAGACGCAUUUUCAAAAAGAGUUGCUGAUCAUUGUUGAGGUGCAACGAAGUAAUGGCGAUCGUGUUGCUGGAUAUCUGCAGAACAUCUUCGCGAAGAGUUUUGAUUAAUGUUUUCUCAGCGUCCGAUGGCAAACGGAACUUUUUAACAAUGGACGAUCCUCCCUUAAAUAGGCCGUCCAAUUGCUCGAUAUUGCGGAUUUGCCAUUUCCCAGUAGACCUUUGCCGGUGGCAGAUGAAAAGCUGCCGAUCGUCGUAGCCGACCACCAUUUGCUUGAACAUUUCAAGCCGAAGGACGUUGUUGGAUGUAAAACGACUCCGGCUUCAUUGGAUUGCAUUACCGCAUCGUGGCCGAACCAAAAGCAAGUAGAAUCCUUGUUCCAUUUUGGUGUCUCAUCACGAAUGGUUCGAUGAAAUAAACACAUUUUCUGCU